UGGGGAAUUUUGGACAAUGGGGGAAACCCUGAUCCAGCCAUCCCGCGUGUGCGAUGAAGGCCUUCGGGUUGUAAAGCACUUUUGGCAGGAAAGAAACGUCAUGGGUUAAUACCCCGUGAAACUGACGGUACCUGCAGAAUAAGCACCGGCUAACUACGUGCCAGCAGCCGCGGUAAUACGUAGGGUGCAAGCGUUAAUCGGAAUUACUGGGCGUAAAGCGUGCGCAGGCGGUUCGGAAAGAAAGAUGUGAAAUCCCAGAGCUCAACUUUGGAACUGCAUUUUUAACUACCGGGAUAGAGUGUGUCAGAGAGAGGUGGAAUUCCGCGUGUAGCAGUGAAAUGCGUAGAUAUGCGGAGGAACACCGAUGGCGAAGGCAGCCUCCUGGGAUAACACUGACGCUCAUGCACGAAAGCGUGGGGAGCAAACAGG
rnacentral:rRNA from 1 species